CUGGUUGAUCCUGCCAGUAGUCAUAUGCUUGUCUCAAAGAUUAAGCCAUGCAUGCGUAAGUAUGAACUAAUUCAGACUGUGAAACUGCGAAUGGCUCAUUAAAUCAGUUAUAGUUUGUUUAAUGGUAUCUACUACUCGGAUAAGCGUAGUAAUUCUAGAGCAAAUACGUGCAACAAACCGCGACUUCUCGAAGGGAUGCAUUUAUUAGAUAAUAGGUAAACGCAGACUCUGCUUGUUGCUUUGAAUUUUCAUGAUAACUCUUCGGAUCGCACGACCCUUGUGCCGGCAACACAUCAUUCAAAUUUCUUCCCUAUCAACUUUCGAUUGUAGGAUAGUGGUCUACCAUGGUGGUGAUGGGUGACGAAGAAUUAGGGUUUGAUUCCGGAUAGGGAGCCUGAGAAACGGCUACGAAAUUCAUAAAAGGUAGCAGGCGCGCAAAUUACCAUUCCUGACACGGGGAGGUAGUGACAAUAAAUAACAAUACCGGGCUCAUUCUGUCUGGUAAUUGGAAUGAGUACAAUCUAAAUCCCCGAACGAGGAUCCAUUGGAAAGCAAGUCUGGUGCCAGUAGUCGCAGUAAUUCCAGCUCCAAUAGUGUAUAUU
rnacentral:ncRNA from 1 species